GGGCGAUUAGCUCAGUUGGUUAGAGCACUUGUUUUACACACAAGGGGUCAAAGGUUCGAGUCCUUUAUCGCCCACCA
rnacentral:tRNA from 2 species